rnacentral:rRNA from 1 species
UACGGGGGGGGUAAGCGUUGUUCGGAAUUACUGGGCGUAAAGGGCUCGUAGGCGGCCAACUAAGUCAGACGUGAAAUCCCUCAGCUUAACUGGGGAACUGCGUCUGAUACUGGAUGGCUUGGAUUCGGGAGAGGAAUGCGGAAUUCCAGGUGUAGCGGUGAAAUGCGUAGAUAUCUGGAGGAACACCGGUGGCGAAGGCGGCAUCCUGGACCGGCAUUGACGCUGAGGCGCGAAAGCUAGGGGAGCAAACGGG